UACGUAGGGUGCGAGCGUUGUCCGGAAUUAUUGGGCGUAAAGAGCUCGUAGGCGGUGUGUCGCGUCGGUCGUGAAAACUUGGGGCUUAACCCUGAGCUUGCGGUCGAUACGGGCAUCACUGGAGUUCGGCAGGGGAGACUGGAAUUCCCGGUGUAGCGGUGAAAUGCGCAGAUAUCAGGAGGAACACCGGUGGCGAAGGCGGGUCUCUGGGCCGAUACUGACGCUGAGGAGCGAAAGCGUGGGGAGCGAACAGG
rnacentral:rRNA from 1 species